GCGAGCGUCGCCAAGUGGUUAAGGCAGUGGUUUGUGGUACCGCCAUCCGUGGGUUCGAAUCCCAUCGUUCGCC
rnacentral:tRNA from 1 species